rnacentral:rRNA from 1 species
AUUGAACGCUGGCGGCAGGCCUAACACAUGCAAGUCGAGCGGAGCGGCCGACGGGUGAGUAAUGCCUAGGAAUCUGCCUGGUCGUGGGGGAUAACGUCCGGACGCGGGCGCUAAUACCGCAUCCUAUCAGAUGAGCCUAGGUCGGAUUAGCUAGUUGGUGGGGUAAAGGCCUACCAAGGCGACGAUCCGUAACUGGUCUGAGAGGAUGAUCAGUCACACUGGAACUGAGACACGGUCCAGACUCCUACGGGAGGCAGCAGUGGGGAAUAUUGGACAAUGGGCGAAAGCCUGAUCAAGCCAUGCCGCGUGUGUGAAGAAGGUCUUCGGAUUGUAAAGCACUUUAAGUUGGGAGGCGGUACCAACAGAGUAAGCACCGGCUAACUACGUGCCAGCAGCCGCGGUAAUAC